rnacentral:rRNA from 1 species
AUUGAACGCUGGCGGCGGGCCUAAAACAUGCAAGUCGAGCGAGCGGCGGACGGGUGAGUAAUGUAUGGGGACUGCCCGAUAGAGGGGGAAUACUAAUGGAAACGGGAGCUAAUACCGCAAAAUAUAGGAUAACACAUUUGGUAGUAGCUCGUAUGUGAGGUAAUGGCUAAACUAGGCGACGAUCCCUAGCUGGUCUGAGAGGAGGAUCAGCAACACUGGAACUGAGACACGGUCCAGACGCCUACGGAGGCAGCAGUGGGGAAUAUUGCACAAUGGGCGCAAGCCUGAUGCAGCCAUGCCGCGUGUAUGAAGAAGGCCCUAGGGUGGUAAAGUACUUUCAGUCGGGAGGCGUUACCGACAGAAGAAGCACCGGCUAACUCCGUGCCAGCAGCCGCGGUAAUUC